GGUAACAGGAAGCAGCUUGCUGCUUCGCUGACGAGUGGCGGACGGGUGAGUAAUGUCUGGGAAACUGCCUGAUGGAGGGGGAUAACUACUGGAAACGGUAGCUAAUACCGCAUAACGUCGCAAGACCAAAGAGGGGGACCUUCGGGCCUCUUGCCAUCAGAUGUGCCCAGAUGGGAUUAGCUAGUAGGUGGGGUAACGGCUCACCUAGGCGACGAUCCCUAGCUGGUCUGAGAGGAUGACCAGCCACACUGGAACUGAGACACGGUCCAGACUCCUACGGGAGGCAGCAGUGGGGAAUAUUGCACAAUGGGCGCAAGCCUGAUGCAGCCAUGCCGCGUGUAUGAAGAAGGCCUUCGGGUUGUAAAGUACUUUCAGCGGGGAG
rnacentral:rRNA from 1 species